AACUGCAUAUAAGAACCAGGUACUAUGCUGAUUGACAGCAUUGUUUUACAGGGAAGUCCGGUGAGAUUCCGGCAUUGUCUCGCAACUGUGAAGGGAAGUCAUACUGUCGCAGUCCUCUUACAAAGGGAUGGUAUGGUAAUGAUCCUAAGUCAGGGUACUGACGGGUUUUCCUAUCAUUC
rfam:Sporomusa sp. An4 isolate Sporomusa ovata strain An4 genome assembly, contig: SPAN4DRAFT_scaffold-1